AUGGAACUGCCCGACGCGACAUUCGCACUUUACGUUCGGGGCCUUACGAAUUCCUAGGGAGCUGUCCCUGCGAGAGGCCGUGGCCUUUUGCACACGGUGCCCACCUACACAUGUAGGUCUCCGAGGAUUCCGUGAAUGACGGUCAGGGCGGUUCCACU
rnacentral:other from 1 species